AUACGGAGGGUCCAAGCGUUAUCCGGAUUCAUUGGGUUUAAAGGGUCCGCAGGCGGGAAAAUAAGUCAGUGGUGAAAGCCUACAGCUCAACUGUAGAACUGCCAUUGAUACUGUUUUUAUUGAGUAUAGAUGAAGUGGGCGGAAUAUAUCAUGUAGCGGUGAAAUGCAUAGAUAUGAUAUAGAGCACCGAUUGCGAAGGCAGCUCACUAAACUAUUACUGACGCUCAGGGACGAAAGCGUGGGGAGCGAACAGGAUUAGAAACCCUAGUAGUCC
rnacentral:rRNA from 1 species